CAGUCGCCGCGGGAAAACGAAGGGGGCUAGCGUUGUUCGGAAUCACUGGACGUAAAGCGCACGUAGGCGGACUUUUAAGUCAGGGGUGAAAUCCCAAGGCUCAACCUUGGAACUGCCUUUGAUACUGGAAGUCUUGAGUUCGGGAGAGGUGAGUGGAACUGCGAGUGUAGAGGUGAAAUUCGUAGAUAUUCGCAAGAACACCAGUGGCGAAGGCGGCUCACUGGCCCGAUACUGACGCUGAGGUGCGAAAGCGUGGGGAGCAAACAGGAUUAGAUACCCGCGUAGUCCCUGUCUCUUAUAC
rnacentral:rRNA from 1 species